rnacentral:rRNA from 1 species
UGCCCUGCACUCUGGGACAAGCCCUGGAAACGGGGUCUAAUACCGGAUAUGACCCGGGACCGCAUGGUCCUGGGUGUAAAGCUCCGGCGGUGCAGGAUGAGCCCGCGGCCUAUCAGCUUGUUGGUGGGGUAAUGGCCUACCAAGGCGACGACGGGUAGCCGGCCUGAGAGGGCGACCGGCCACACUGGGACUGAGACACGGCCCAGACUCCUACGGGAGGCAGCAGUGGGGAAUAUUGCACAAUGGGCGAAAGCCUGAUGCAGCGACGCCGCGUGAGGGAUGACGGCCUUCGGGUUGUAAACCUCUUUCAGCAGGGAAGAAGCGCAAGUGACGGUACCUGCAGAAGAAGCACCGGCUAACUACGUGCCAGCAGCCGCGGUAAUACGUAGGGUGCGAGCGUUGUCCGGAAUUAUUGGGCGUAAAGAGCUCGUAGGCGGCCUGUCGCGUCGGAUGUGAAAGCCCGGGGCUCAACCCCGGGUCUGCAUUCGAUACGGGCAGGCUAGAGUGUGGUAGGGGAGAUCGGAAUUCCUGGUGUAGCGGUGAAAUGCGCAGAUAUCAGGAGGAACACCGGUGGCGAAGGCGGAUCUCUGGGCCAUUACUGACGCUGAGGAGCGAAA